rnacentral:rRNA from 1 species
CCAUGGCUAAUUCCGCAUAUCGAGCGAAAUCUUGAAAGCCUUUCGGACGCCAAAGGAGCAACCUGCGGCCCAUUAGCUUGUUGGUAGGGUAACGGCCUACCAAGGCGAUGAUGGGUAGCUGGUCUGAGAGGAUGACCAGCCACACUGGAACUGAGACACGGUCCAGACUCCUACGGGAGGCAGCAGUGGGGAAUAUUGCGCAAUGGGCGAAAGCCUGACGCAGCCACGCCGCGUGAGUGAUGAAGGCCUUCGGGUCGUAAAACUCUGUCGGGAGGGACGAAGGGGCAACCCUGACGGUACCUCGCAAGAAAGCACCGGCUAACUCUGUG